rnacentral:rRNA from 1 species
UACGGAGGGUGCGAGCGUUAUCCGGAUUCACUGGGUUUAAAGGGUGCGUAGGUGGGAAUGUAAGUCAGUGGUGAAAUCUCUGAGCUUAACUCAGAAACUGCCAUUGAUACUAUGUUUCUUGAAUUUUCUGGAGGUCAGCGGAAUAUGUCAUGUAGCGGUGAAAUGCUUAGAUAUGACAUAGAACACCAAUUGCGAAGGCAGCUGACUACAGGAACAUUGACACUGAGGCACGAAAGCGUGGGGAUCAAACAGG